UUUUUCUCGGGAUAGCUGGAGCUCGUGUGAGAAUUUUAUCAAGUAAAGCGAAUGAUUGGAGGUAUCGGGGGUGUAAUGCCCUCGACCUAUUCUCAAACUUUACAUAGAUAAGCCGUCAGGGCAAGGAACUGGGACUGGGACUCGCAGUGGAACCGAGACUCGCACCA
rnacentral:ncRNA from 1 species